AUGGCCACAUUAUCUUGAAACAUUGGUUCCCGUACGAUCACCGAAGUUAAGCAACGUUGACCCUGGUCAGUAUCUAGAUGGAUGACAGCUUGGGAAUACCAGAUG